GGAAAUACAUGUCCUUCAUAUGACACUAUAUAAUUAACUGAGUGACUGAGUUUGUUUGUGGGUGAACUGAAGCAGUGAAUCCAAAUGAAGAAUGCUUGAAAUGAU